UGUCCUUACCUGGCAGCCGUGCUCCAGGUAGCUGUCCCACUCGAGUCCUCCGCGCCUCCCCGAAUCUCCCAGACCGUCCGGUCCUCUCUACCGAACCCCGAUCUCUCGCAGCAGGGAGUUUCGAGGCAGCGACUCUCCUCAGGUUCGCUUGUGCCCCGGAGCCGCCCUUGUCUUCAUCACUCGGCUUCUGCUGGAUGCAAGCGCAGCUACCGGCUCCUCCCGGCGGGUCGCGAGCGCGGGGCUCCCGGCUGCAGCCGACUUGGCCCGCGGUUGCGCUCCCGGGUCCGAGCGCGCUCCGCCCGCGGGCAGCUGCGGCCGC
rnacentral:lncRNA from 1 species